GACGAACGCUGGCGGCGUGCUUAACACAUGCAAGUCGUACGGUAAGGCCCUUUCGGGGGUCCACGAGUGGCGAACGGGUGAGUAACACGUGAGUAACCUGCCCACAACUUUGGGAUAACGCUAGGAAACUGGUGCUAAUACUGGAUAUGUGCUCCUGCUGCAUGGUGGGGGUUGGAAAGCUCCGGCGGUUGUGGAUGGACUCGCGGCCUAUCAGCUUGUUGGUGGGGUAGUGGCCUACCAAGGCGGCGACGGGUAGCCGGCCUGAGAGGGUGACCGGCCACAUUGGGACUGAGAUACGGCCCAGACUCCUACGGGAGGCAGCAGUGGGGAAUAUUGCACAAUGGGCGCAAGCCUGAUGCAGCAACGCCGCGGGCGGGAGGACGGCCUUCGGGUUGUAAACCGCUUUCAGCAGGGACGAAGCUUUUUGUGACGGUACCUGCAGAAGAAGCACCGGCUAACUACGUG
rnacentral:rRNA from 1 species